AAAAACUUAGAAAAUCAUCAUACAUUACUAAACUAUGUAGACCAUUAAUGCUCUGUUUUGUGAUGUAUCUAGUAAGUCAUCCGAAUUCGUGACCUGUGCUAAUUACUACUUUUUAUGAAGAUCCAUUCCUAUUUCCAAAUAAUCCCAUGGAGCUCAAUUUAAUUCUUUUCAUUAUGAUCACCACCGGUCUCUGUUGACAGGAAAUUGAUGUUAAUGAGGCUGAAGAAAAGAAUGAGAAUCAAGAGAAAGUGAUGGUGAACCAAGACGCCGAGAAUUCUUGCCAUAAUAAACGAAGAAAAUUGAACUCAAAGGUUUGGGAUGACUUCACAAAGCGUAAAGGACAAUCUGGAAAAGAAGUGGCUGUAUGCAAUCAUUGUGGGAGGGAAUUUGAUGGUUCAAGCAAGAAAGGAACUACUCAUCUCAAGAACCAUUUACAAAGAUGCCCAGGUAAAAGAAACGGAGAUGUUGAUAAAUUUAUUAAAUCUGUGAUUGAUGCAAUAGGAUUACGGAUGAAUUCUGAGCAUUGGGAUCCAUUAGCGCUAAACUCCAAAAAGGACGAUAUACUCCAAUUUUACAAUAAAGAGAAGGAAAAACUUUGCAGGCUUCUCAAUAAACUCUCAUGUCGUUUUAGCUUAACAAUUGAGUGGUGUGCGAAUUGCUGCCUCUUGGUGGUACAUUAUAUCAAUGAUGGUUGGGAUCCAAUGUGGAAGGUUAUUAGUGUUCAGGAUGUCAGAUUUCCUUACAGUAUUCUGUUAGAAAAUAUGAAACGUUCCUGCUUGGAUUGGCAGAUUGAUAGGGAUAUAUGUAUGGUAAUUACCACGGGCGAUAAUGUGAUUAGUGAGAUUAACAGCUGGGUUUGUGAAAGGGGUUCACUUCACUUUGGUGGGCAGAUGAUGGCUAUUGGUGGCUUGGUUGAAAUUCUUCUCACUUUUGUUGAGAAUUUAUCAUCCCGCACAUGUGAUACAGUUGGAAUAAGGCGGUGUUUUCGUGAUGUCUUUAAGAGUACUCCAUCGAAUGAACAUAAAUUUCGAAAGAUUUCAGCUGCUAAAGUUAAGUCCAUGGGCAAUAAAACUUACGGCUUUGAACAGCUUGAGAUAGCCGUGGGUCUUAAGAAAGUUCUUUGUGAGCUUGUGAAUGCAGAUUCUAAUUUCAAGUCAAUGAAUUUAACAAAGGAAGACUGGCAUAAGGCGACUGUCGCAUAUGAGCGUAUAAAAGCCUUACACGAUGUAGCGUGCAGUUUAUCAGAGAGCAAAUGUAAAACGGCAAAUGCAUAUUUCCCAAAGGUAUGUGACAUAUAUAUGAAAUUGCUUCAAUGGGAAAGAAGUGAAGAUGAUUGUGUCGGCAAGAUAGCCUUGGAAGCAAGAGAAAUAUUUGUUAACAGAUAUUGGAUGAAGUAUGAAUUAAUCCUAGUAAUUGCAGCUGUUCUUGAUCCGCGGUUCAAAAUGGAUAUUGUGCAACUUUGGUACAAAGAGAUUUAUGCUAGUGCUGCUCGCACACAUCUUGAGAAAAUUAAUGGCGAAUUUAAUCGUGUUUAUAAUGAAUAUGCCAAGGGCUCCGGAAAAUCCAGAUCUGGUGAUGCGAGUUCUUCAAUGUCAUUCAAAUUGUUAGACGCUAUGGGUAGACCGUGUACGUUGUCGCAUGGCGUCUUUGAUGACGGUAUCGCUUCACCAAAAUCAGAACUUGAUUGCUAUUUGAACGAGCCUAAAUUUCCCAGAGUUGAAGAGUUUGACAUACUGGCUUGGUGGCGUGUUAACACUCCAAAAUUUCCAACGCUUGCAAGGAUGGCUCGUGAUUUUUUAGCAAUGCCUAUUUCUCCUAGUGCUGCUACUGCAUAUGCUUGCUUCAGUAAAGAAGCUAAGGAUAUUUUUGAUACAGGCCUAGAUAAUGACCUUAUAACUGCCUUGGUGCGUUUAAAAGUAUGGUUGUAAUUAAAGCCUGAAAAAAAAAUUAAAAAACUCUUCUGAGCGGAGUAAGAGCAUCUCCAAAAGCCUCUAUAAAUUUUAAUUUUUAAAUACAUAUUUGCUUACUUAUACGGCAAAUAGAAAGGUGAAAAAAUAUGAUAUUUUCCAAAAGACUUUUCAAAUAGAAAUAAAUUAAUAUUAUUUUAAUCAUAUAAUUAGUUUUUUAAAGGAAAAGUCAAUAGCAAUUAAAUCAUUUCUCUUUCUUUCUUCAAUGAAAAGUAAUAAAAUAUAAAUUGAAAAGGGAGAAAUUAACUCUCCAAAUUUGAAGAGAGAGAAUCAAUUCUUAUUUGAAUAAUUUUAAUUAGAGUGUCUUUUGGAGCUUUAAAUAUUUAUGUGACUUUUCAAAUAAGUAAUAAAAUCUUAUUUAAAGAGCUUUUUGUUGAUGCUCUAAGAGUAUCACCAAAAAACUCUUCAAAUAAGAUUUUAUUACUUAUUUGAAGAGCUAUAUUAACAUUCAAGGCUUCAAAAGACACUCCAAUUAAAAUUCUUCAAAUAAGAAAUGACCAUCUCUUUUUAAAUUUGAAAAGUUACUUUCUCCCUCUUCAAUUUAUAUUUUAUUACUUUUUGUUGAAAAAAAGAGAAAUGUGCUUUAAUUACUAUUGACUUUUCCUUUAAAAAAAUAGUUAUUUAAUUAAAAUAACAUUAACUCAUUUAAAGAGUCUUUUGGAGAACAAUAUCUUUUUUCACUCAUCUAUUUACCACAUAGGUAAGCAAAUGAAUAUUUGAAGAGUAAAAUUUAUAGAGCAUUUUGAAGAUGCUCUAAGUUGUCCUCAAUUUUGCUACUUACCAAAAAUGUUUUUCUUUCAAUAUGCAAAAAUGUAUUAUGAAUCUAAUUGUGAAGUAUCUAAAGUGUUAUCUAAAUUUCUAAUUCAUUUCUCAAUCUCUAAAUUGAAUAUAAUUAUAAAUAAGGUUGGCAAAAUUUGUAUUCGGAUAUGAAUAUCCAUAUCUGCAUUUACAUUUUUAUAUAUGAAUCCGCAAAAAAAAUAUGUGGAUCUGCAUGUGGGUAAUAGCCGCAACGGAUGUGGGUGGAUAUUCCAGAUAUUCGGAUUAACAAUAAUCAAAAUUUGAUAAUUUAAUAUAUAAUUUAAAAAUUCAAUGAUUUAGCUUAUAAUAUAAAAAAAAUUCAAUCAUAAUUCAACAAUUAAUAAUUGAACAUGACUAACAUACAACAACAUCAUAAAUCGAUAAAUAAAAUUCAAUUUUUAGUAUAUCGAAUUCGUGACCUGUGCUAAUUACUAAACCUUUUUAUGAAGAUCCAUUCCAAUUUCCAAAUAAUCCCACAGAGCUCAAUUUAAUUCUUUUCAUUAUGAUCACCACCGGUCUCUGUUGACAGGAAAUCAAUAUUAAUGAGGCUGAAGAACAGAAUGAGAAUCAAGAGAAAGGGAUGUCUCCAGUAAGUCAUCCGAAUUCGUGACCUGUGCUAAUUACUACUUUUUAUGAAGAUCCAUUCCUAUUUCCAAAUAAUCCCAUGGAGCUCAAUUUAAUUCUUUUCAUUAUGAUCACCACCGGUCUCUGUUGACAGGAAAUCAAUAUUAAUGAGGCUGAAGAACAGAAUGAGAAUCAAGAGAGAGUGAUGCAUCUAGUAAGUCAAACGAAUUCGUGACCUGUGCUAAUUACUAAACCUUUUUAUGAAGAUCCGUUCCAAUUUCCAAAUAAUCCCAUGGAGCUUAAUUUAAUUAUUUUUAUUAUGAUCACCACCGGUCUCUGUUGACAGGAAAUUGAUGUUAAUGAGGCUGAAGAAAAGAAUGAGAAUCAAGAGAAAGUGAUGGUGAACCAAGACGCCGAGAAUUCUUGCCAUAAUAAACGAAGAAAAUUGAACUCAAAGGUUUGGGAUGACUUCACAAAGCGUAAAGGACAAUCUGGAAAAGAAGUGGCUGUAUGCAAUCAUUGUGGGAGGGAAUUUGAUGGUUCAAGCAAGAAAGGAACUACUCAUCUCAAGAACCAUUUACAAAGAUGCCCAGGUAAAAGAAACGGAGAUGUUGAUAAAUUUAUUAAAUCUGUGAUUGAUGCAAUAGGAUUACGGAUGAAUUCUGAGCAUUGGGAUCCAUUAGCGCUAAACUCCAAAAAGGACGAUAUACUCCAAUUUUACAAUAAAGAGAAGGAAAAACUUUGCAGGCUUCUCAAUAAACUCUCAUGUCGUUUUAGCUUAACAAUUGAGUGGUGUGCGAAUUGCUGCCUCUUGGUGGUACAUUAUAUCAAUGAUGGUUGGGAUCCAAUGUGGAAGGUUAUUAGUGUUCAGGAUGUCAGAUUUCCUUACAGUAUUCUGUUAGAAAAUAUGAAACGUUCCUGCUUGGAUUGGCAGAUUGAUAGGGAUAUAUGUAUGGUAAUUACCACGGGCGAUAAUGUGAUUAGUGAGAUUAACAGCUGGGUUUGUGAAAGGGGUUCACUUCACUUUGGUGGGCAGAUGAUGGCUAUUGGUGGCUUGGUUGAAAUUCUUCUCACUUUUGUUGAGAAUUUAUCAUCCCGCACAUGUGAUACAGUUGGAAUAAGGCGGUGUUUUCGUGAUGUCUUUAAGAGUACUCCAUCGAAUGAACAUAAAUUUCGAAAGAUUUCAGCUGCUAAAGUUAAGUCCAUGGGCAAUAAAACUUACGGCUUUGAACAGCUUGAGAUAGCCGUGGGUCUUAAGAAAGUUCUUUGUGAGCUUGUGAAUGCAGAUUCUAAUUUCAAGUCAAUGAAUUUAACAAAGGAAGACUGGCAUAAGGCGACUGUCGCAUAUGAGCGUAUAAAAGCCUUACACGAUGUAGCGUGCAGUUUAUCAGAGAGCAAAUGUAAAACGGCAAAUGCAUAUUUCCCAAAGGUAUGUGACAUAUAUAUGAAAUUGCUUCAAUGGGAAAGAAGUGAAGAUGAUUGUGUCGGCAAGAUAGCCUUGGAAGCAAGAGAAAUAUUUGUUAACAGAUAUUGGAUGAAGUAUGAAUUAAUCCUAGUAAUUGCAGCUGUUCUUGAUCCGCGGUUCAAAAUGGAUAUUGUGCAACUUUGGUACAAAGAGAUUUAUGCUAGUGCUGCUCGCACACAUCUUGAGAAAAUUAAUGGCGAAUUUAAUCGUGUUUAUAAUGAAUAUGCCAAGGGCUCCGGAAAAUCCAGAUCUGGUGAUGCGAGUUCUUCAAUGUCAUUCAAAUUGUUAGACGCUAUGGGUAGACCGUGUACGUUGUCGCAUGGCGUCUUUGAUGACGGUAUCGCUUCACCAAAAUCAGAACUUGAUUGCUAUUUGAACGAGCCUAAAUUUCCCAGAGUUGAAGAGUUUGACAUACUGGCUUGGUGGCGUGUUAACACUCCAAAAUUUCCAACGCUUGCAAGGAUGGCUCGUGAUUUUUUAGCAAUGCCUAUUUCUCCUAGUGCUGCUAUUGCAUAUGCUUGCUUCAGUAAAGAAGCUAAGGAUAUUUUUGAUACAGGCCUAGAUAAUGACCUUAUAACUGCCUUGGUGUGUUUAAAAGGAUGGUUGUAAUUAAAGCCUAAAAAAAAAAUUUGAAAAACUCUUUUGAGCGGAGUAAAAGUUGUCCUCAAUUUUGCUACUUACUAAAAAUGUUUUUCUUUCAAUAUGCAAAAAUGUAUUAU
rnacentral:lncRNA from 1 species